rnacentral:rRNA from 1 species
CCUACGUGAGGCAGCAGUAGGGAAUCUUCCACAAUGGGCGAAAGCCUGAUGGAGCAACGCCACGUGGGUGAAGAAGGUCUUCGGAUCGUAAAACCCUGUUGUUAGAGAAGAAAGUGCGUGAGAGUAACUGUUCACGUUUCGACGGUAUCUAACCAGAAAGCCACGGCUAACUACGUGCCAGCAGCCGCGGUAAUACGUAGGUGGCAAGCGUUAUCCGGAUUUAUUGGGCGUAAAGGGAACGCAGGCGGUCUUUUAAGUCUGAUGUGAAAGCCUUCGGCUUAACCGGAGUAGUGCAUUGGAAACUGGGAGACUUGAGUGCAGAAGAGGAGAGUGGAACUCCAUGGGUAGCGGUGAAAUGCGUAGAUAUAUGGAAGAACACCAGUGGCGAAAGCGGCUCUCUGGUCUGUAACUGACGCUGAGGUUCGAAAGCGUGGGUAGCAAACAGGAUUAGAUACCCGAGUAGUC